rnacentral:tRNA from 1 species
GAGGUUGAGGCUCAGUGGUAGAGCACUUGCCUAGCAUGUGUGAGGCACUGGGUUCGAUUCUCAGCACCACA